GAAACCCGGUGAUCUAGCCAUGGGCAGGUUGAAGGUUGGGUAACACUAACUGGAGGACCGAACCGACUAAUGUUGAAAAAUUAGCGGAUGACUUGUGGCUGGGGGUGAAAGGCCAAUCAAACCGGGAGAUAGCUGGUUCUCCCCGAAAGCUAUUUAGGUAGCGCCUCGUGAACUCAUCUCCGGGGGUAGAGCACUGUUUCGGCUAGGGGGUCAUCCCGACUUACCAACCCGAUGCAAACUGCGAAUACCGGAGAAUGUUAUCACGGGAGACACACGGCGGGUGCUAACGUUCGUCGUGAAGAGGGAAACAACCCAGACCGCCGGCUAAGGUCCCAAAGUCAUAAUUAAGUGGGAAACGAAGUGGGAAGGCUCAGACAGCCAGGAUGUUGGCUUAGAAGCAGCCAUCAUUUAAAGAAAGCGUAAUAGCUCACUGGUCGAGUCGGCCUGCGCGGAAGAUGUAACGGGGCUAAAUUAUGCACCGAAGCCGCGGCAGCGAUAUGUAAAUAUUGUUGGGUAGGGGAGCG
rnacentral:rRNA from 2 species